rnacentral:rRNA from 1 species
AGAGUUUGAUUCUGGCUUAGAACGAACGCUGGCAGCGUGGAUUAGGCAUGCAAGUCGAACGGGAAGCGGUUAUUUCAAUCUUCGGAGAGAAAUGGCCGUGGAUAGUGGCGAAAGGGUGAGUAACGCGUGGGUAACCUGCCCCCGAGUUGGGGACAACUCUUAGAAAUGUGGGCUAAUACCGAAUAUGGUGCUCCGUCGCAUGGCGGGGACAUUAAAGGUGGGGAUUCUUCGGAACCUGCCGCUUGGGGAGGGACCCGCGUCCCAUCAGUUUGUUGGUAGGGUAACGGCCUACCAAGGCUUACGGGUAGCCGGCCUGAGAGGGUGAUCGGCCACACUGGGACUGAGACACUGCCCAGACUCCUACGGGAGGCUGCAGUCGAGGAUCAUUCGCAAUGCGCGAAAGCGUGACGAUGCGACGCUGCGUGGAGGAUGAAGGCUUUCGGGUUGUAAACUCCUGUCAUGAGGGAAAAGACGCAUGGAUGUUAAUAACAUCUGUGCCCGAUGGUACCUCAAGAGGAAGCGACGGCUAACUCUGUGCCAGCAGCCGCGGUAAUACAGAGGUCGCUAGCGUUGUUCGGAUUUACUGGGCGUAAAGCGUACGUAGGUGGUUCCGUGUGUCGGGUGUGAAAUCCCACAGCUCAACUGUGGAACUGCAUCCGAAACUGCGGGGCUAGAGUGCAGGAGGGGAGAGCGGAAUUCUUGGUGUAGCGGUGAAAUGCGUUGAUAUCAAGAGGAACACCGGUGGCGAAGGCGGCUCUCUGGAAUGUCACUGACACUGAGGUACGAAAGCUGGGGGAGCAAACAGGAUUAGAUACCCUGGUAGUCCCAGCCGUAAACGGUGCACACUUGGUGUGGGAGGUAUUGACCCCUUCCGUGCCGGAGCUAACGCGUUAAGUGUGCCGCCUGGGGAGUACGGCCGCAAGGCUAAAACUCAAAGAAAUUGACGGGGGCCCGCACAAGCGGAGGAGCAUGUGGCUUAAUUCGAUGCAACGCGAAGAACCUUACCUGGGCUUGACAUGGUGACCCUUCGGGGGUGGGGGUGAAAGCCCCCUUUACAAUCACAGGUGCUGCAUGGCUGUCGUCAGUUCGUGCCGUGAGGUGUUGGGUUAAGUCCCGCAACGAACGCAACCCUUGUGUUUAGUUGCUACCGGCGGUGAUGAGCCGCCGAGCACUCUAGACAGACUGCCCGUACAAGCGGGAGGAAGGUGGGGAUGACGUCAAGUCAGUAUGGCCCUUACGCCCAGGGCUGCACACGUGCUACAAUGGUCGGUACAAUGGGACGCUAGAUCGCGAGAUGGAGCAAAUCCCCAAAGCCGGCCCAAGUUCGGAUUGGAGUCUGCAACUCGACUCCAUGAAGUCGGAUUCGCUAGUAACGCCGUAUCAGCUACGACGGCGUGAAUACGUUCCCGGGCCUUGUACACACCGCCCGUCACAUCAUGAAAGCCGUCUGCACCCGAAGUCGCUGACCCAACUUGCAAAAGAGGGAGGUGCCGAAGGUGUGGGUGGUAAUUGGGAUGAAGUCGUAACAAGGUA